AUCGGGAGGGGACUGAGCCUGA
rnacentral:miRNA from 1 species